UACGUAGGGUGCAAGCGUUAAUCGGAAUUACUGGGCGUAAGGCGUGCGCAGGCGGUUUUGUAAGUCUGUCGUGAAAUCCCCGGGCUCAACCUGGGAAUUGCGAUGGAGACUGCAAGGCUAGAAUCUGGCAGAGGGGGGUAGAAUUCCACGUGUAGCAGUGAAAUGCGUAGAGAUGUGGAGGAACACCGAUGGCGAAGGCAGCCCCCUGGGUCAAGAUUGACGCUCAUGCACGAAAGCGUGGGGAGCAAACAGG
rnacentral:rRNA from 1 species